GACGGAAGGUGCAAGCGUUACUCGGAAUCACUGGGCGUAAAGCGUCCGCAGGCUCCCCAUAUAGGUCUGGCGUAAAAACGCAGAGCUCAACUCUGCGCACGUGCCGGAAACCAAUGGGGUAGAGUCACUCAGAGGCACCUGGAAUACCGUGUGGAGGGGUAAAAUCCGUUGAUACACGGUAGAACGCCAAAAGCGAAGGCAGGGUGCUGGGGGUGUACUGACGCUCAGGGACGAAAGCGUGGGGAGCGAACGGG
rnacentral:misc_RNA from 1 species